rnacentral:rRNA from 1 species
CCUACGGGGUGCAGCAGUGGGGAAUAUUGGGCAAUGGGCGCAAGCCUGAACCAGCCAUGCCGCGUGCAGGAAGACGGCUCUAUGAGUUGUAAACUGCUUUUGUACGAGGGUAAACGCAGAUACGCGUAUCUGUCUGAAAGUAUCGUACGAAUAAGGAUCGGCUAACUCCGUGCCAGCAGCCGCGGUAAUACGGAGGAUUCAAGCGUUAUCCGGAUUUAUUGGGUUUAAAGGGUGCGUAGGCGGUCGGAUAAGUUAGAGGUGAAAUCCCGAGGCUCAACUUCGGAAUUGCCUCUGAUACUGUUCGGCUAGAGAGUAGUUGCGGUAGGCGGAAUGUAUGGUGUAGCGGUGAAAUGCUUAGAGAUCAUACAGAACACCGAUUGCGAAGGCAGCUUACCAAGCUACUUCUGACGUUGAGGCACGAAAGCGUGGGGAGCAAACAGGAUUAGAUACCCGUGUAGUC